UCUGAACUGGUUGAUGCAAUUGCAUUCCCACUCAGUGCACUACAGUCCGUAAGAAACUAGAGUACUUUACUGCUAGGAUUUGUGAAAGCACUAGUUAUGCAUGGUGCACAUCACGGUGUCAGCAAUAAUAUUUUGACUGGAUUCCAUAUACUGGUUGUUGCCUGGCAGAUUUAAAACUGCAAAAUUGACAUUGUUCAUUCAUUCCAUGAGCUGACAUGCUGCUGUACAUAAAAUCACAAAUGCUGAUGAGGCUCAGUAGCCCAACAUGCAAGAGCAACUUCUGCUCACAUUAAUACACAAUAAAACCUCCUUGUCCUUGUCAAGGCAUAUCUUCCUUCCUAGUGAACUUUCUAGGUGCUUAUCCAAGGGUGGAAUUAGAAAAUAUCUGCAGUGAGCACUGCCUGCAAUAAAUGCCUGGGAAGAGGAUAGGUGGGGAUUUAAGGAAAUGUAUCAUUAGACUUUAACCUGGCUGUAUGGUAGCCACCUCAACUACCAAACUCUUAUUUAGAAUAGAAAAUACUUAGCACUGUUUCGUAUCUGUGUGACCAAACUAUAAUCAGAUUAUUACAUUGAUCUAGCACCUAUCAUCUCAAAGGAUACUAAAGCACAGUGCAAAUGACAAUAUGCAACUACUGCUUCAACAAUCAAUGAAAAACAGUCACCUUUGGAGUGGAAUACAGCAGUUUGAAUUUGUUUGUUAAGAUUUUUUUCUGUUAACGACAACACAGCAACCCUAUAUGAUAGUCUGACAGACAGCAAAGAAGAGAAGAGAAACUGCAGCAGCAAUUUGGGUAGACAGCCAAUUUGCAGGGGCAGCAGCUGGAAGGGA